rnacentral:rRNA from 1 species
GACGAACGCUGGCGGCGUGCUUAACACAUGCAAGUCUAGGGGGCCCGCAAGGGUCACCGGCGAACGGGUGCGUAACACGUGAGCGACCUGCCCAGCUGCGGGGGAUAGCCGGCCCAACGGCCGGGUAAUACCGCAUACGACGCCUGCUUAGAAGCGGGACGUGAAAGCUUUGGCGCGGUUGGAGGGGCUCGCGGCCUAUCAGCUAGUUGGUGCGGUAACGGCGCACCAAGGCGAUGACGGGUAGCUGGCCUGAGAGGAUGGCCAGCCACAUUGGGACUGAGAAACGGCCCAGACUCCUACGGGAGGCAGCAGUGGGGAAUCUUGCGCAAUGGCCGAAAGGCUGACGCAGCGACGCCGCGUGGGGGAUGAAGGCCUUCGGGUUGUAAACCCCUGUUGCCCGGGACGAACACACCGUUUCGACGGUGCUGACGGUACCGGGUGAGGAAGCACCGGCUAACUCUGUGCCAGCCGCCGCAGUAAUAC